AAUGAACGCUGGCGGCAUGCCUAACACAUGCAAGUCGAACGAGACCUCCGGGACUAGUUGCGCACGGGUGCGUAACGCGUGGGAAGGGGCCCGUAGGUUCGGAAUAACUCCUCGAAAGGGGUGCUAAUAUCGGAUAAUGUCUGCUGACCAAAGAUAUGUCGUCUUUGGAGGGGCCCGCGUUGUAUUAGCUAGUUGGUAGGGUAAAAGCCUACCAAGGAGAGGAUCGAUAGCGGGGAUGAGAGGAUGGUUCGCCACACUGGGAGUGGGACACGGCCCAGAAUCCUAGGCGAUGCAGGAAUGGGUGAUACUGCAAUACGGCGUGAGUGCAGAACCAGCAAGGCCGGGAAAGUCAUGAAGGCCGGAAGGAUGUAAAGCACUUUAACCCGCCAUGGUAAUGACGGUACCGGGAGAAUAAGCACCGGCUAACUUCGUG
rnacentral:rRNA from 1 species